rnacentral:lncRNA from 1 species
UAAUUUUCAGAUAACAAAUUUUCAUAAUCUAAAUCCACCAUAAUUACCAGUAACAAAACACAAAUCACAAGGUGCUACAACCAUACGGUACUCGACAGAAAAUUAACCCCAUCAUUCGAUCUACAACUAAAACGAUAUGUACAGAACAGGCUACAAACAAAGGUGUCAUCUAGGUGUAUCUAACCAGACUCAAAAAACAGAAGGGGGAGGAGGAGGAGGGGGAGGAAGGGAAGGGAGGGUAAGUACCCUAACUGGAGGCGGCUGUGCAACUACAAUUAUUGAACAAUGCCUCGCAUCCGUCUUUAAUUUUUGGCAGACCCGAUAACAUUUCAAUCCUUCGUUACAGAUUGGUUGACCUCUGAUGUAUUAUCUUUCUGGCUUGGCGGAGGCACGGAUUCUCCUAUUUUCAACUCCCCACUUUGUUGUUGCUGCUGCUGUUGCUGUUGCUGAUGAUGCUGCUGCAUCUGUUGCUGCUGGAGUUGAUGGAGCUGAUGCUGCUGAAACUGGUGCUGCUGCUUCUGAGAAUGAAUCUGGAGCUGUUGAAACUGCUGUGCAGUUAGAAGAGUGUGCAUUGCUUGAUUGUUUGGAUAGAACUGCUGCUGACCCGCCGCGCCAAAAGAAGCGUAGUUCAUCAUAGGUCCACCAUUUGGCAUAGCUUGGCCAGUCAUAACUUUCAGAUGCUGAAUUUCUUCUUUCAGUGCAUUGUUCAAUGCUACGAGACAAACAAAAACAAUAAUGUUUCGGCACAAUUUCAUUCACAUAAGGAUCAAGAACCAGAAGUUACACGGAAUCCGAUCAGCAAGAAAACCUAAAUUAUAGUAUUGUACUGAUACUACACAAACAAGAUGCUACAGUCUAAUUUGAGCAAAACUUCUACAUCGGAUGCUAAUUGGCUCUAAAAAUUAACCAUCCAAUACGAUGGCCAGUCCACUUCAGGUUAGCCAGCAUGUUGUUUAUGGCCUACUACAACAUUGAAAAUGGGCAUAAAUUCAAGGAAAAUCGUUCUUGUCGACAUCGGUGGGGGAGGCAUACCCAGCACCGCUUUGAUUAGCCACAGGAAACUAGAUCCAAUGACUGUACACAGGCUAUGAAUUAGAAGCAAAUAGAGAGACUAAGAACAAAAAUCUACUCAUUUGAUAGACAAGCAGUAAAAUGGUCAAGGCAAGUCUACAUUUACAGCUCAGUAAUAAAAGCCAAAAACACAUAAACCUCUCCGACUAAACAUUCAUCAUAAAGAUGCCAACUCAUGCAAUAUAAAUUUAAAAACACUAAUUUAGUACCUUCUGGAUAAGUUGAAGAAACAAUCAAAUCAAAUCAUAAACUAGUUUAGCACAUAAUUUAGUACCAUCUGGAUAAUUUGAAUAAACAAUCAAAUCAUAAACUCAUUGUGCAAUAGGAAAUGCCGAGGAACCAAAGUUCUUUUGCCGAAUCUUAUAACGUAGACUAUAAUAAAUUAGGUAUUUGGUAAAAGCAUAUGGUGCAAAAAGUCUUCAUCAACCAAAAUCAGAAUUAGCAACCAAUUUUUAUUCUGAGUUAGCAGCAGGAAACAAUGUCUGCCAACUUAACUUAUGGCAUCUUGGAUUCUAAUCUAACAAAAAAUCAAGUAUAUGUAUGCUAGCAUCUACUUAUUGGAUCGUCCAUUACGUACAAAGUUAUUGUGUGUCAGCGUGCUUGUAUCAUGCUUAAUUUCUCCUUUCAGCCAAUGACCACAGACAAUUCAAUAAAAUUAAGGAAAGAAAUAGAUUAUAUGAAAAUUAAUUCUAAUCAUGAAAAUUAUGUACAUUGUUUGCAAACGCAGUUUCAGUUCACUGUUCUCAGCAGUCAGACCAUUUGUAUCUCUCUGCUCAUAAAGAAAUCCAUAAGAAUAAUCGCUUGUAUCUCGUUAUGUAAGCUAGAUCAAACAGUCAUGUGAGUAGUGAAGUGAAAACGAAGGGAAUCAUAAGCAAAGACAUUCAUCUAAUCAGUCCAAUAAAGAGAACCUGGUCUAAUAAAGGAAUGGGUUAAGUGAAAUUUACCUGCAAGAGAGUCAAUUGAGCAGACAAGGAUGUUGCUUCUGUUUGCAACGUCUGGACUUUCUGUUCAAGCUCAGCAAUAUCUCGCAUUUUCCUUUCUUUUGACCUUGCAGCUGAAUGCCUAUUAGCCCGGAUCCUAAUGCAUGUCAACCAAAGGUAAAAUAUUAAGCAUAAUAGUUGAAGCAACGGGGCAAAACAAGGAGACAACGAACUCUUUUAUUUUCAUUUAAGAAGGGAAAAUGAAGAAGGGCAAAAACUAGAAAGCACCAAAGAAAAUCAGAUCCACUUCAAGGGUAACAAGAUGUCACAGGUGCAUUGUUGGAUUGUAUUGCACUUGGUUUGAUGUUAUUUUAGUCGACAAUGCAAAGAUUGGAGAAACAAAGAGGAUGGCACAUAUAACUGCCCCUCACCAUUGACCUUCUCAAAUUUGGAUCACUUAAGCAUUGGAUUGUAUUCAUUCUUCAUGUUAACUUUGUUCUGCAGGCUUCCUUCCUAUGGCUAACUUAAGCAUUUGAGUUAUUCUUUUUUUUUUCAAAGAUAUUUAGCUAUUUAAGUUUUUUUUUUGCCUGAUGUUGAACGAGAUUUUAAAUUCGAAUUAUGGUACCUAUUAUACAUGGCCGCACAUGGUGUGAAGAGAAUGAGCAUAUAUGCAAGUCCUCUUGUGGACCCGUAAAGGAAUGGGAAGCCCUACUGCUUAGUCCCCACCCAUCUUCUGCAAGAGAAAAGAAGAGAAAAAAACAAAUAGAGCCAGUAAGGCUCCCCACCCAUCAUUCUUUUUUUAGUAACAUUAAUAUUUGCAUUUGGUUGUCUUUACCAAGCAAUUCAGAGACAUGGGAUCGGAGAGCUUUCAGCCGUCUUCUCCUCCUCCUCCUCCAUGUGGAGGUGAAGAACCACCCAGAAACUGGCCGGUGGAUACUAAUUCAUCAAAUUUAGUACGUAAGGAUGAUAAGCAGGAUGGGAAACGAGACACCCCCUCCUACAUAUGCAGUAAAAGGCAACCCAGAGGCAAAUGGUGAAGUGGUUCAUACAUAGGACGUCUUGUAUAUCGCGGUCUGCUGUCAACUAAUAACAUCAAUAUUAUUAUUAUGAAUAAUAAUUAAGCUCUUCCAUUAAAGUUCUAUAUAUGUACUUCCAGAAUCCAGAGCUUUGUUAUGUUUGUCCCCUAGCAGACAUGGCAUGUAUUUGUAAUUUUAGUGAAUUUUAAUUUUAGUGUGUGUGUCUGUGUCUCUGUGUGUGUGUAGAGCUCUUAAGAAGAAGGAAAAUAGAUCACUCACUAGAUUUAUUGUACAUUAUUGAAACAAGAAAUGAACGUCAACAUUAAAAUCUUGCAUGGAGAGAGAAAGUAUCGGCUGUCACGUGUGCGUUUCAGCAUUUACUCGUGUAUUUUGGUUUCCGAUCUUGCCCCUACCCAGCUCUCUCCAGUCUCCACCAAGCUUUUUGCCAUUUUCAUCUCUUUUUUUUUCAUGCAAACUAAAGCCAAUAUUUACGCUAACUAUUUUACACUUGUUCGGGAGUUGGUAAGUUGCACUAGGAAUAGAAUACAACUCGUUUGAUAAUUAUUUUAAAGCAAGGCUCAUUUAGUAAUGAUCUCGUUUUAGGUUUUAGUUAUAAACUUGAAACUCGUUUGAAUGUGCUUUUAAAAUGACUAAAAACGUUUUUGAUGAAAAUAUUUUUUAAAACAAUUCUUAGUAAAAAUGUUAGUAAAUUCUGGAAAAACACUUAAAGUGUUUCCUGGGAGAAAAACAUAACUGAUACUUCUGGUAGAAAUGACUUAAGAUGCUUUUGAAACCCAAAAACAUUUUCUCUAAAAACCCUUUCAGUCAAAUUAAAAAUACAUCCAAACGAGCCAUUUUACUUUUCGUGCUUAAGAUAUAAAAUGUAUAUUGAUGAAAAAGGGUGGUGAGAGCAACGGUGGGAAGAGAUAAAAAAAAAUGAAUAAAAACAAAUUCAAGAUUUUGAAAGGAACUUAAAAUAGUUUUUUAUUUUUUGUUUCAGUUUUCAAUUUCUUCGCCUUUUAUUAUAUAUUUCUUCUACGUCUACCAUCACCACUUCCUCAAGUUGGGUGCCUACAACCGAAGAUUUGCAGUUUUGUAAAUAUGUUUUUUGACAACUAAUUCAUCUUUUACCCUUAACUUGUAAAAAAUUUAAACUUAUCCUAUAUUUUUGCAAUUAAAUUUUAAAAUUAUUCUAUAUCUUGGACAAAGUCCAUUUGAGGUCAGGUGAAAUCAUGAUGCUAUAUUGUGUGGUGGUUUUGAUCACUCUCGAUUGCAUCGUAAUUGAGUGGAGGGCGAUAUCGUUGUGGAUUAUAAGGAAUAUAUGCUGCAAGGAGUUGACGUGACAAGCAAGCAAUGUAGUGAGUGAUGCUAAAUCAUCAAGAAUAAAAGUUGACAGACCGAGACUAAACCCAAAAACACAUUUAAUUUUCCGAUAACAAAUCUUCAUAAUCUAAAUCCACCAUAAUAACCAGGAACAAAACACAAAUCACAAGGUGCUACAACCAUACGGUACUCAACCGAAAAUUAACCCCAUCAUUCGAUCUACAACUAAAACGAUAUGUACAGAACAGGCUACAAACAAAGGUGUCGUCUAGGUGUAUCUAACCAGACUCAAAAACAGAAGGGGAAGGAGGAGGAGAAGGGGGAGGAAGGGAAGGGAGGGUAAGUACCCUAACUGGAGGCGGCUGUGCAACUACAAUUUUUGAACAAUGCCUCAACCGUCUUUAAUUUUUGGCAGACCCGAUAACAUUUCAAUCCUUCGUUACAGAUUGGUUGACCUCUGAUGUAUUAUCUUUCU